rfam:Neurospora crassa OR74A unplaced genomic scaffold supercont12.8, whole genome shotgun sequence.
UAUUUAAUUGAUUUUGUUAGUAAUUAUAUAUUUAUUUUAAAGAUUAAACUAUGUAUGUUUAAAUUUAAGUAAUUAAAUUACAAAAUUGCGAAUAACUUAUUAAAUUAAUUAUAAUUUAUUUAAUAGUACCUUAUUAUAUAAAUAACUAUAGUAAUUCUAGAGCUAAUAUAUGCUAAAAACCCCGACUUCGGAAGGGGUGUAUUUAUUAAAUUAAAAACCAAUGCCCUUCGGGGCUAAUUAGUAAUUUAUAAUAACUUUUCGAAUUGUAUAACUUUGCGCUGGCGAUAGUUUAUUCAAAUUUCUACCCUAUUAAUUUUUAAUAGUUAGAUUUUAAUUAAUUAUAGUAACAAUGGGUAACGGAGGGUUAGGGCUCGACCCCGGAGAAGGAGUUUGAGAAACGGCUAUUAUAUUUAAGGAAAGUAGUAGGCGCGUAAAUUACCUAAUCCUAAUAUAGAGAGGUAGUAAUAAUAAAUAUUAAUAUAAGGCUCUUUUAGGUUUUAUAAUUAGAAUAAAUAUAAUUUAAAUCCUUUAAUAAGGAAUAAUUGGAGGGUAAGUUUAGUGCUAGUAACUACAGUAAUUCUAAUUCCAAUAGUAUAUAUUAAAGUUAUUAAAGUUAAAAAAUUUGUAAUUAAACCUUAGGUUCGGCCUAUUAGUCUGCUUUACCGCGUAUAUUAACUAGGUUGGGCCUUUUUUCCUAGAGAACUAUAUGCCCUUUAUUAGGUAUAUUGGGGAAUUAGGAUUUUUAUUAUAAAUAAAUUAAAUCGUUUAAAGAAGGUUUAUAUUCGAAUAUAUUAGUAUAGAAUAAUAGAAUAGGAUAUAUAGUUUUAUUUUAUUAAUUUCUAGGACCGCUAUAAUAAUUAAUAGGGAUAGUCGGGGGUAUUAGUAUUUAAUUAUUAGAAGUGAAAUUCUUAGAUUUAUUAAAGAUUAAUUAUUACGAAAGUAUUUACUAAGGAUGUUUUUAUUAAUUAGGAAUGAAAGUUAGGGGAUUAAAAAUAAUUAGAUACUAUUAUAAUUUUAAUUAUAAAUUAUACUAAUUAAAGAUCGGACGGUAUUAUUUUUUAACCCGUUUAGCACCUUAUAAUAAAUUAAAAUAUUUAGGCUCUUAGAGGAGUAUAGUCGUAAGGUUAAAAUUUAAAGAAAUUAACGGAAGGGUACUACUAGGGGUAGAGUUUGUAGUUUAAUUUAAUUUAAUAUAGGGAAAUUUAUUAGGUUUAAAUAUAAUGAGGAUUAAUAGAUUGAGAGCUCUUUCUUAAUUUUGUAGGUAGUAGUAUAUAGUUAUUCUUAAUUAGUAGAGUAAUUUAUUUAUUUAAUUAUAAUAAUAAACGAGACUUUAAUUUACUAAAUAGCUUAUAUUACUUUAGUAGUAUAUUAGUUUUUUAGAGGGACUAUUGGUUUAAGCUAAUAGAAGUUUAAAGUAAUAAUAGGUCUAUAAUGCCUUUAGAUAUUCUAAGCCGUAUGCGCGUUAUAUUAAUAUAAUUAGUGAGUACUCCCUUAGCCGGAAGGUCCGGGUAAUUUUAUUAAAUUAUAUUAUAUUAGGGAUAGAGUAUUAUAAUUAUUAUUCUUUAAUAAGGAAUCUUUAAUAAAUAUAAAUUAUUAGUUUACGUUAAUUAUAUUCUUACCCUUUAUAUAUACCGCCCGUCGCUACUACCGAUUGAAUAGUUUAGUGAGGCUUCCGGAUUGGCUUAGGGAGGUCGGUAACGAUUAUUUAGGGCCGGAAAGCUAUUUAAACUCAGUUAUUUAAAGGAAGUAAAAGUUAUAAUAAAAUCUCCGUUAGUAAAUUAGCGGAGGGAUUAUUA